GCAGGCUGGCAGCUUUCCUCCCUGCAAGGAUCUCUCAUGCAAAGAGCCAGGCAGGGUGGUGGGAUCAGCCCAGGCAGCUGCAAACAGGCUGGAUGAUCUUGUACGGUGAGCUUUCAAGUUGGUUUGCUGGGGGAUGGAGACACAGAGGAACAUGAGGACACUUUGCCGUCAAGCCAGGCUGUUCAUCUGCAGGUGCAGGAGGCUGCUGGAGUCAUCUCUGGAGACGGUGAAUCGCCCCUUAACACUGUCAGCGUAGUAUAUGGGAG